rnacentral:rRNA from 1 species
UACGUAGGGAGCAAGCGUUGUCCGGAAUCAUUGGGCGUAAAGCGCGCGUAGGCGCCUCGUAAGUCCGUUGUGAAAGUCAAAGGCUCAACCUUUGAAAGCCGAUGGAUACUGUGAGGCUAGAGUCCGGAAGAGGCGAGUGGAAUUCCUGGUGUAGCGGUGGAAUGCGCAGAUAUCAGGAGGAACACCAAUAGCGAAGGCAGCUCGCUGGGACGGUACUGACGCUAAGGCGCGAAAGCGUGGGGAGCGAACAGG